rnacentral:rRNA from 1 species
UGGGGAAUUUUGGACAAUGGGGGAAACCCUGAUCCAGCCAUUCCGCGUGCAGGAUGAAGGCCCUCGGGUUGUAAACUGCUUUUGGACGGAACGAAAAGCGCUGAGCUAAUAACCCGGCGUCAUGACGGUACCGUCCGAAUAAGCACCGGCUAACUACGUGCCAGCAGCCGCGGUAAUACGUAGGGUGCAAGCGUUAAUCGGAAUUACUGGGCGUAAAGCGUGCGCAGGCGGUGAUGUAAGACAGGUGUGAAAUCCCCGGGCUUAACCUGGGAACUGCAUUUGUGACUGCAUCGCUGGAGUGCGGCAGAGGGGGAUGGAAUUCCGCGUGUAGCAGUGAAAUGCGUAGAUAUGCGGAGGAACACCGAUGGCGAAGGCAAUCCCCUGGGCCUGCACUGACGCUCAUGCACGAAAGCGUGGGGAGCAAAC